rnacentral:rRNA from 1 species
GUGUCAGCCGCCGCGGUAAUACGAAGGGUGCAAGCGUUACUCGGAAUCACUGGGCGUAAAGCGUGCGUAGGUGGUUUUUUAAGUCUGUCGUGAAAGCCCUGGGCUCAACCUGGGAACGGCGAUGGAUACUGGAAAGCUAGAGUGCGGUAGAGGGGUGUGGAAUUCCCGGUGUAGCGGUGAAAUGCGUAGAGAUCGGGAGGAACACCAGUGGCGAAGGCGGCACCCUGGACCAGCACUGACACUGAGGCACGAAAGCGUGGGGAGCAAACAGGAUUAGAAACCCCUGUAGUCC